UACGGGGGGAGCAAGCGUUGUUCGGAUUUACUGGGCGUAAAGGGCGCGUAGGCGGCCACCGCAAGUCGAUUGUGAAAUCUCCGGGCUUAACCCGGAAAGGUCAACCGAUACUGCGGGGCUAGAGUGCAGAAGGGGCAACUGGAAUUCUCGGUGUAGCGGUGAAAUGCGUAGAUAUCGAGAGGAACACCUGCGGCGAAGGCGGGUUGCUGGGCUGACACUGACGCUGAAGUGCGAAAGCUAGGGGAGCGAAUGGG
rnacentral:rRNA from 1 species